CCUACGGGAGGCAGCAGUUAUUACUAUUUUUCCCUUUUCUCUCUCCUGCCCCCGCCCCGUCGCGUGAAGGAUGACUGCCCUACGGGUUGUAAACUUCUUUUAUAAAGGAAUAAAGUGAGGCACGUGUGCCUUUUUGUAUGUACUUUAUGAAUAAGGAUCGGCUAACUCCGUGCCAGCAGCCGCGGUAAUACGGAGGAUCCGAGCGUUAUCCGGAUUUAUUGGGUUUAAAGGGAGCGUAGAUGGGUUGUUAAGUCAGUUGUGAAAGUUUGCGGCUCAACCGUAAAAUUGCAAUUGAUACUGGCAGCCUUGAGUACAGUUGAGGUAGGCGGAAUUCGUGGUGUAGCGGUGAAAUGCUUAGAUAUCACGAAGAACUCCGAUUGCGAAGGCAGCCUACUAAACUGCCACUGACAUUGAUGCUCGAAAGUGUGGGUAUCAAACAGGAUUAGAUACCCGAGUAGUC
rnacentral:rRNA from 1 species